rnacentral:rRNA from 1 species
CCUACGGGAGGCAGCAGUGAGGAAUAUUGGUCAAUGGGCGGAAGCCUGAACCAGCCAAGUAGCGUGCAGGAUGACGGCCCUAUGGGUUGUAAACUGCUUUUAUGCGGGGAUAAAGUGUGCCACGUGUGGCAUAUUGCAGGUACCGCAUGAAUAAGGACCGGCUAAUUCCGUGCCAGCAGCCGCGGUAAUA